rnacentral:rRNA from 1 species
GCUCUCGCAUCGAUGAAGAACGCAGCGAAAUGCGAUAAGUAAUGUGAAUUGCAGAAUUCAGUGAAUCAUCGAAUCUUUGAACGCACCUUGCGCUCCUUGGUAUUCCGAGGAGCAUGCCUGUUUGAGUGUCAUGAAAUCUUCAACUUGCAAGCUCU